CCCUACUAAUUAAUAAUUGUAUUACGUUAUGUAUAUAUAUUGUAACAGAAAGUCUUUAGUCAAAUUCAAUGGAAAAAAUAUUGGCAAUAUAUCAUUUAACAAAACAUGCUUUUAAUUUAGUAACGGAUACAUCAGUAGACUUUAAUAGAUAUGCUGUUCGUUUUCAUUCUGUUAAAUUUGAUCGCCGUAACAUCAACCAAUGGUAGUUGGCAUCAACUUGAUGGCAUCGAAUAUUACAUUGAGUAUACAGAAGUUAAUGUAACUAACGCGAAGGAAGGUUGUAACGCAAUGAACGCCAUUCUAGCUGCUGUUAAAUCUCAACAAAUUCAAAAUUUCCUCGUGAAAAAUAUUAAUACAACGAUUUUGAACGUCUCGGGGAUGCCAUUUGCAUUCUACAUUGGUUUGAGUCGUACCAGUUCAACUACAUUGCAAUGGUCGGAUGGUACAACAACUAAUACAUCGGUCUUCACUUAUUGGGAUGCCACUGAUGACGUCUAUGAUUACAGGAAACUUUGCGUUACAAUGGGAUUCCACGCUGCAUUUAAUAUAUUAUUUAAAUGGAAGAUUGAAUACUGUCGAAUGACUCUUCGUUAUAUUUGUCAAAGUAUCUUUUUAACAAUUAAAAAUACUAAACCAAUUUAUAUUAUCCGUUGUAAAAUAAUUGUUACUGUUUAAUGGAUAUAUUUAAUUUGUUAUACUGUUGUAGAAAAUACACCAACAACAAUAACAAAUGUCCUAAAAACAGGAACACGUUCGUUCACCUCAGAAGAAACACCAACAACCGAAUAUAAAGAUGAAACAAUCAUCAAAUACAACUAUGCUACAAUAGAUAACUUGAAAAGCUGCGCGCCCAAAACACCAUCGUGGGUUAUCCCUAUCAUCGCGAUUUUAUCUGCAAGUCUUGUAUUCAUGCUAGCACUUGUGCUGUACUUGUGGAAAAGGCUGAGUCAAUCAACUGUGAGAACCUGUAACGUCAAUGAUAACAUGGAUAUGACGCAAGCAUCGGGACAUAUUACAACAUAUGCCACAACUUCUGCUUAUCAACCGCCGUAUUACGAAAACCUAAAGGCGCCCGAACCAGCAUAUGAAGAUCUCAAUAACGAAUAAUGGCAUCCAUCUAUGAUAACCCAAGAAAAAAACUUGUAUUUGUUGCUCUGUAUUAUAACACCUGUAGUAUAUAACUGGUCAAAACACUUUUCUAUAUAGUUUUCUCUUAAAUCGUAUCAUGGUGAUAUUGCGUAUGCAACAUUGUAACUUCAACGCUGC